rnacentral:rRNA from 1 species
GAUCCUGGCUCAGGAUGAACGCUGGCGGCGUGCCUAACACAUGCAAGUCGAGCGAGAAAUCUUGGAAUGAGACUUCGGUUAAGUGAAGAGAUGGAAAGCGGCGGACGGGUGAGUAACGCGUAGGCAACCUGCCUUAUGCAGAGGGAGUAGCCAUUGGAAACGAUGAUUAAAACCCUCAUAAAGCCAUUUUAUCACAUGGUGAGAUGGUCAAAGAUUUAUCGGCAUAAGAUGGG